rnacentral:lncRNA from 1 species
AAGGUCAGGGAGCUAAACAGAAAGAGAAGAGGCCUUAAGGGAUAAAAAGUGAAGAGAAGAGUGCGAGAGAUAUGCUAAUUGAAUGAUGAAGCAACAAGCAAAAUAGAGGGAGUGCGAGAGUGAUUUUUUUUUGGGAGGUGAUAAUGUUCUAAAAUCCAUUCUUUUCAUGCUUAAAUUUGAUAUUAAAACACACCCUUUAUGGCUUAGAAUGGGCUUUAAAUCAAGUAAAACACUUAGUUGAGUCUUGUGAGAGUCAAAAGUUGGUUUUAGAGAUAUUAUGCUUGUUUUACAUUGUUUUGUAGGGUUUUAAGGUGAAUUGAAGAUGGAAGUGAAGCAA